rnacentral:rRNA from 1 species
UACGUAGGGUGCGAGCGUUAAUCGGAAUUACUGGGCGUAAAGCGUGCGCAGGCGGUUUUGUAGGCCAGAUGUGAAAUCCCCGGGCUCAACCUGGGAAUGGCAUUUGGGACUGCAAGGCUGGAGUGCGGCAGAGGAGACUGGAAUUCCUGGUGUAGCAGUGAAAUGCGUAGAUAUCAGGAGGAAUACCGAUGGCGAAGGCAGGUCUCUGGGCUGACACUGACGCUCAUGCACGAAAGCGUGGGGAGCAAACAGG